UCCCUGAUGGCUCAGAUGGUAAAGCGUCUGCCUACAAUAUGGGAGGCCUGGGUUCUAUCCCUGGUUUGGGAA
rnacentral:tRNA from 1 species